UCCUCCAUAGCUCAGUUGGUUAGAGCAUCUGACUGUUAAUCAGAGGGUCGCUGGUUCAAGUCCAGCUGGGGGAG
rnacentral:tRNA from 1 species